rnacentral:misc_RNA from 1 species
CUCUGAGCAACAGUUCAGAUCUUUUUCAUUAUCAUGUAUGUGAGGAAGACAUUGAUGGAUUUGAGCCCAGUCACCAGCAAAGAAACGUAGUUCCACGCCAGAAUCAGAAUUUUUCUCAUCCGAUGCAGUGCAAGGAAAUUCUUUUGAAAGAUUGACAUCCACAUUGGGAAUGGUGAGAGAUCGCAGAACUUCUGCAUUGAAAUCCUGAAAAUGUACGACAGCUGCACCCUCUAGGCAUGCAAAGAUCCCUGGAAGUCCAUGACCACAUCCAAGCUCUAAAACUUGCUUUCCAGCAAAUGAUAAAUGCCCAUUUUGAACCUCUGAGCGGAGAGCUUUAACAAGGUCCAAUGAACCUUCCCAAAGCUUCAGUCCCCCUUCAUAGACACCAGGUACUAAAUCAGAAUUAGGCAACCCAAAAACCUCUUUGGUACUUAGCCGUCCCUUGAGCAAAGUAAGACCAUCCAAGUUUACGGGCUCCACAGAGCAUUUCAAAGUGGAUGAAACCUGAGAAGAAAGUACUUCGACAGAAGGAGGCGGAGGAGGGAGAGAAGCCUCAGAAGGAGAAUCGAAAAACCCUAUACCUCCCGACGUCGAAAAUAAUUUGAAC